rnacentral:lncRNA from 1 species
GGCGGGCUAUAAGUUCCCUUAAGGUGUUAGAGAAAACAAAAGUGCUGACUUAACUUGAAUUUUUGGGGGAGAAUUUGUGUGUUUCUUAAACCACCGUACUGUUUUAGGACUGAAUAAUGCAGGUUGUAAUUAAUCCUUUUUAGUAUUUAUUAGAGUAUGCAGAGUGAUAGAGUAUAAUUGAAGCAAAGAAGCAGCACGUUCCACAGUGCCUGGGGUACCAGGAACAUUCUAGAUGGAGGAAUGCACCAGCUGGUCCUGGGAGACAAGUGGAGGCCAAUCAGGAGAGGAUGGUGCGAAUGAGGGUGGUAAAGGAGAGUGAUCAAAAGGAGAAAAAGAAGGCAAAACCCCAGAAACAGAGGGAGGAAAAAUGUAAAAGGAAAGAAAGAUUGUUGCAUUGAUGGACUUUCGGGAGAUAUUUCAGGUUUUGUACUCUCAUAUGGAAAGUUUUGUUACAAUACAAAAUGUUGCAAUAAACAGGCAAAUACAUUCGUGCCAUUACUUCUGUAGAACAGAUUUAUGCAAGUGGGUGGAAGGGUCAAAGUUUCCUUUCCCCAAAGUUUGCAACAACUCACGCCCUCACCACCAAAAUGCUAGGGAAGAUCCUGAUUGUUUGACUUGGGUCAGACUGGCAUUGGGAAUCAUCACUGUGCCACAUGGCGCAUGGGAGAUUAACACAUCCACCAGGGUCCUUAAUUGUUGAAGGUCUGAUUCCUUUCUGCCUCUGCAAGGAGAGAGGCCAUCCUUGCAGAAUUCUUGAGUGUAUGGCUCAGUGUCUUCCACGUGUCUUGCUGCCAUGAGUGCUAAAUACAUAUUUCGGUUUCACUUCCCCAUUCAACUUCUCAGAUGUCCUUUAAUGGUUGGUGCUCCUGCUCACAUCACAGGUUAGUUACCAGGUUAGUUACCAUUUCUGUGCUUACUUUUGUGUAAUUAGUCACAUGAAAUUUCUACAUUAGGAAGCCCAGUUCAGUUGUGGGAAUAAAAUGUGUACCCAUUCCUUUCCAGCAUGUGUGAAUUCAGCAGUGUGACCCUGCAUUUCUAGGGUUGUGCAUAAGGGCUACCUAUUGUGAGUUUCACAGACAUCACUAUUCCUGUGGGGAGUCGGGAGGCUGGCCCCCGUGACGUGGUAGUUAUAGCAUUGCAUAGGCAGGCUGGAGACCGUUCUUGUGUUUGUCUGACCGCUGAUGAUGUGUCUGGUUGAAUCCUCUGUAACUGAAACCUAAUCAAGAGCAACAAUUCUGAAAUGUUAGAAAUUGGAUUACUGUUGAUAAUUGUCUUUCUAUAACCAUGAAAGGUCCAUGUUAAUAAUUCUUUGCCAUACUAUUCAAAGAUGACAUCUGUUUAAGCAUACAUUAUAAAAGUCAGAUUCGUUCAACAGAGAAUUUAUUAAUUUGUUACCUUCCCUGAGCAAAUGUGACUGCACAU